UUUGGAAAUAGAAAUUGAAUGUAGUUCAGUGGCUGACAGCUGUCCUUAAUUAGCCAACGACAUUAGAAGGGUCUGGGAUUCCUUUAAAAGGAGCAACCAAAUAUCUGGCAAAUAUAGUAAAAGGGAUAUUCUGGUAGGACGUAUGCCUACCAUUAGUUCUGAAUACUGGUGAGGUUUUGAGGGAAAAAUGGCCGUGAUGAUUGGAAUCGCUUUCAGGUAUGUUAAGUAUUGAUUAAGUUUGUUUCCCUUGUCCUUCAGGUGUUACAGGUAGCUAUGUUUAUAACACAUCAUUUUUCCUUAAGCGUUUCUUGGCUUUGUUGCCUGCUAAUUGGAGGGAUAACGUGUUCUACAUCAGAAGGUGAUUGGUCUCCUGCACUGGAUUCUAAUGCAGCAUGGCUCUAUGCAGGAUCACUUCGGUCUCUAGGAUAUGGCAAUUAUAAAUCUCAAAUGCAAGCGCAGCAGAAACAUCCGGCCGCCAUCCUGCGGAAAGAACUGGCCCCCAUGUCCCGGCAACCUCAGCAAGUGUGGUAUCCAGGUCAAAUGCCCCUGCAUCAGAAGCAACGUGCCGCAGAAGCUCAGCAGCAGAGGCAAGCGACAACUGUGCCCCAGCAAGUGUGGCAUCAAGCUCACAUGCUGACAGAACCACCGACCGCCGUGCCCCAGCAAGUGUGGCAUCCUAAUCAAAUGCUGCAGAAGCAAUCACCCGCCUCGCCUCAGCAAGUGUGGCAUCCUGCUCAAAAGCCCCUGCAGCAGAAGCUACCGACCGCCGUGCCCCAGCAAGUGUGGCAUCCAGCUCAAAUGCAGCAGAAGCAACCGACCGCCGUGCCCCAGCAAGUGUGGCAUCCUUCUCAAAUGCCUCUGCAGCAGACGCAAACGACCCCCGUGCCCCAGGAAGCAUGGCAUCCUGCUCAGAUUCCCCAGCAGAAGCAACUGGCCCCUAUGCCUCUACUGCAGAAGGAACCAACCACCAUAGCCCAGCAAACUCAGCAGGUGUGGCAUCCAGCUCAAAUGUCCAAGAAUCGAACAGCCACUGAACCUCAGCAGAAGCAACCAUCCACCACGCCCCAGCAAGCGUGGCAUCCAGCUCAAAAUCCCCUGCAGCAGAAGCAACCGGCCACUGAACCUCAACAGAAGGAGCUGACCGCCAUGCCACAGAAGCUACAGGCCUCCAUUCUCCAGCAGCCUCCGCUUGUGUGGCAUCCAUCUCAAUUUCCCCAGCAGAAGGAACUGGCAGUCGAGCCUCAGCAAGUGAGGUAUCCAGCUCAAAUGGCCCAGCAGCUACCCAACCCCAUUCAUCAGCAAUUAUGGCAUGUAGCCCAAAUUUCCCAGCAGCAACUGGCCCCAUUGUCUCAACAGAAGCACUACGAAAGCACUGAAGAUGCCUCUGGUAGUUCUCAGGCCAGCAUUGAACAGUCAGGUGUCAUCCCCAUCUCUUCCUACAGUUCCAAAUCGCACUACAAGAAUGGCAGAACUGUCUUCUCCCAAAUCAGCUACACUCCUAGGGAGGCAAUGCCUGUUGACAGUGGAAAUGCUCCCAAGGACGGUUAUGUUAGCAUUGGUGCACCAAGCAUAUAUCCAACACUAGUGAAGGAUUCUGCAAGAAAAAUAUAAUGGAUUCAUCCUCUAGAAGCUCUAAUGACCAGGAAGUUGCUGGUGCUCUUGCUACUCUAGUGUGACGGAAUCAAUAAACAACUUACUUUAAAAAAUGC
ensembl:lncRNA